AUUGAACGCUGGCGGCAUGCCUUACACAUGCAAGUCGAACGGCAGCACGGGAGCAAUCCUGGUGGCGAGUGGCGAACGGGUGAGUAAAGUAUCGGAACGUGCCCAGUCGUGGGGGAUAACGUAGCGAAAGCUACGCUAAUACCGCCUACGAUCUAUGGAUGAAAGCGGGGGAUCGCAAGACCUCGCGCGAUUGGAGUUGCCGAUAUCAGAUUAGGUAGUUGGUGAGGUAAAGGCUCACCAAGCCGACGAUCUGUAGCUGGUCUGAGAGGACGACCAGCCACACUGGGACUGAGACACGGCCCAGACUCCUACGGGAGGCAGCAGUGGGGAAUUUUGGACAAUGGGCGCAAGCCUGAUCCAGCAAUGCCGCGUGCAGGAUGAAGGCCUUCGGGUUGUAAACUGCUUUUGUACGGAGCGAAAAGGCUUCCACUAAUACUGGGGGCUCAUGACGGUACCGUAAGAAUAAGCACCGGCUAACUACGUGCCAGCCGCCGCGGUAAUAC
rnacentral:rRNA from 1 species